rnacentral:rRNA from 1 species
CCUACGGGUGGCAGCAGUGGGGAAUAUUGCACAAUGGGGGAAACCCUGAUGCAGCGACGCAGCGUGAGUGAAGACGUACUUCCGUAUGUAAAGCUCUAUCUGCAGAGAAGAAAAUGACGGUACCUGAUUAAGAAGCCCCGGCUAACUAGGUGCCAGCAGCCGCGGUAAUACGGAGGGGGCAAGCGUUAUCCGGAUUUACCGGGUUUAAAGGGAGCGUAGACGGCAGCGCAAGUCAGUAGUGAAAGGCCGGGGCUUAACCCCGGAACUGCAUUGGAAACUGUGCGGCUAGAGUGCAGGCGAGGUAAGUGGAAUUCGUGGUGUAGCGGUGAAAUGCGUAGAUAUUAGGAGGAACACCAGUGGCGAAGGCAGCUUACUGGACUGUAACUGACGUUGAGGCUCGAAAGUGUGGGGAGCAAACAGGAUUAGAUACCCGGGUAGUC